rnacentral:rRNA from 1 species
UUUGGUGACUGAGUGGCGGACGGGUGAGUAACACGUAUCCAACCUGCCGAUGACUCGGGGAUAGCCUUUCGAAAGAAAGAUUAAUACCCGAUGGCAUAGUUCUUCCGCAUGGUAGAACUAUUAAAGAAUUUCGGUCAUCGAUGGGGAUGCGUUCCAUUAGGUUGUUGGCGGGGUAACGGCCCACCAAGCCUUCGAUGGAUAGGGGUUCUGAGAGGAAGGUCCCCCACAUUGGAACUGAGACACGGUCCAAACUCCUACGGGAGGCAGCAUG